rnacentral:rRNA from 1 species
AUACGGAGGACGCGAGCGUUAUCCGGAUUCAUUGGGUUUAAAGGGUGCGCAGGCGGCCAUUUAAGUCAGCGGUUAAAUCGUGGGGCUCAACCCCAUUCUGCCGUUGAUACUGGGUGGCUUGAUUGCGGUCGAGGUUGGCGGAAUUCGUUGUGUAGCGGUGAAAUGCAUAGAUAUGACGAAGAACACCGAUUGCGUAGGCAGCUGACCAGACCGCAAAUGACGCUCAUGCACGAAAGUACGGGGAUCGAACAGGAUUAGAUACCCUGGUAGUCCGCACAGUAAACGAUGAAUACUUGUUUUCGGCGAUAUAAUGUCGGAGGCAAAGCGAAAGCGAUAAGUAUUCCACCUGGGGAGUACGCCGGCAACAGUGAAACUCAAAGGAAUUGACGGGG